AGGAGUCUAGCUCAGUGCUAAAGCAUUUUCCUAGCAUGCAUGAGGCCCUGGGUUUGAUCCCCACCCAGCAUUCUUA
rnacentral:tRNA from 1 species